CACCAGCGCAUGGGUGACUAUGCGGCUUUGUAAACCCUACCGGAAGCAACGCCUAUAUGGGACGUACAGCGCUGCUCGCGUGUCCCGAAGGCGGCACGAGCCUGUCAGCAAUGGCAGGCCUAGACAGAUCGUCGUUUAAUACAGAACCCGGCUUACGGUCCAUCUCGUUUU
rnacentral:RNase_P_RNA from 1 species